rnacentral:tRNA from 1 species
CUUAGUUUUGUAGUUUAAGUGAAAAAACUGUUUUUUGUGGUAAAAAAGAUGGAGUGACCCUCCCAAACUAAGU